AUGUGGAUCCCCCGGGAAAUCUUAUUAAAAUGUGGAUUCUGAUUCAGGGUGGACCUGAGAUCCCCCAUUUCUAACCAGCUCUUGGGGGAUGCUGCU
rnacentral:pre_miRNA from 1 species